AGAGUUUGAUCCUGGCUCAGGAUGAACGCUGGCGGCGUGCCUAACACAUGCAAGUCGAACGGUGGUUGCAAGACUACAGUGGCGCACGGGUGAGUAACACGUAGCUAACCUGCCUUGAAGCGCGGGAUAACGGUUCGAAAGAGCAGCUAAUACCGCAUAAGCUCGGGUUCUGCAGAGGGACGCGAGAAAAGGCUUCGGUCACUUCAAGAGGGGGCUGCGGCCCAUCAGGUAGUUGGUGGGGUAAGAGCCUACCAAGCCGACGACGGGUAGGGGGCCUGAGAGGGUGGACCCCCACACUGGGACUGAGAGACGGCCCAGACUCCUACGGGAGGCAGCAGUGAGGGAUAUUGGUCAAUGGGGGAAACCCUGAACCAGCGACGCCGCGUGGGUGACGAAGGUCUUCGGAUCGUAAAGCCCUUUUCUGCGGGAAGAGAGAGGACGGUACCGCAGGAAGAAGUCUCGGCUAACUAC
rnacentral:rRNA from 1 species